rnacentral:rRNA from 1 species
AACAGGGAUUACCUCAGUAACGGCGAGUGAAGCGGUAACAGCUCAAAUUUGAAAGCUAGCUCUUUUAGGGUUCGCAUUGUAAUUUGUAGAAGAUGCUUCGGGUGUGGCCCCGGUCUAAGUUCCUUGGAACAGGACGUCAUAGAGGGUGAGAAUCCCGUAUGUGACUGGGUGCUUUCGCUCAUGUGAAGCUCUUUCGACGAGUCGAGUUGUUUGGGAAUGCAGCUCAAAAUGGGUGGUAAAUUUCAUCUAAAGCUAAAUAUUGGCCAGAGACCGAUAGCGCACAAGUAGAGUGAUCGAAAGAUGAAAAGCACUUUGGAAAGAGAGUUAAACAGUACGUGAAAUUGUUGAAAGGGAAGCGCUUGCAACCAGACUUGCGCGCUGAUGAUCAUCCGGGCUUCUGUCCGGUGCACUCGUCUGCGCUCAGGCCAGCAUCGGUUUCGGUGGUGGGAUAAAGGCCUUGGGAAUGUAGCUUCUUUCGGGGAGUGUUAUAGCCCUCGGUGCAAUGCCGCCUACCGGGACCGAGGACCGCGCUUCGGCUAGGAUGCUGGCGUAAUGGUUGUAAGCGACCCGUCUUGAAACACGGACCAAGGAGUCUAACAUCUAUGCGAGUGUUUGGGUGUCAAACCCAUACGCGUAAUGAAAGUGAACGGAGGUGAGAACCCUUAAGGGUGCAUCAUCGACCGAUCCUGAUGUCUUCGGAUGGAUUUGAGUAAGAGCAUAGCUGUUGGGACCCGAAAGAUGGUGAACUAUGCGUGAAUAGGGUGAAGCCAGAGGAAACUCUGGUGGAGGCUCGCAGCGGUUCUGACGUGCAAAUCGAUCGUCAAAUUUGCGUAUAGGG